rnacentral:rRNA from 1 species
UACGGAGGGAGCUAGCGUUGUUCGGAAUUACUGGGCGUAAAGCGUGCGCAGGCGGUUCGUUAAGUCAGAUGUGAAAGCCCCGGGCUCAACCUGGGAACUGCAUUUGAAACUGGCGGGCUUGAGUGCGGCAGAGGGGGGUGGAAUUCCGCGUGUAGCAGUGAAAUGCGUAGAGAUGCGGAGGAACACCGAUGGCGAAGGCAGCCCCCUGGGCCGACACUGACGCUCAGGCACGAAAGCGUGGGGAGCAAACAGG